rnacentral:lncRNA from 1 species
GAUUUUUUGCCUGCACCUUUGCUGUAAUGCACUACAAAAUGGAACGUGCAACAACUUCACAGUGGCAUUUUUAGAGACUGCAGAAAAAGUGUCUUGCUUUAAGGUGAUGGAUGGACAUGGUGCAAUUUGUUGGACUGGCCAUCCAACCCCGUCAUGUCAGAUAGACUAUAGAGAUGGCAAGACGUGCAUCAAGUGGCUGGUAGACACUGACCUCUCAUGUGUGAUGGAUUCUAAUGAGAUGCUUAAUAUAGAAUACCUGUUUCUCCUAUAGAAGAAAAAAAGUGUGCCCGUGACCAAAAAUGUGAGUCAAAAGC